CAGUAGCCGCGGUAAUACGGAGGAUCCGAGCGUUAUCCGGAUUUAUUGGGUUUAAAGGGUGCGUAGGCGGCCUAUCAAGUCAGGGGUGAAAGACGGUAGCUUAACUAUCGCAGUGCCUUUGAUACUGAUGGGCUUGAAUGUACUUGAAGUGGGCGGAAUGUGACAAGUAGCGGUGAAAUGCAUAGAUAUGUCACAGAACACCGAUUGCGAAGGCAGCUCACUAAAGUAUGAUUGACGCUGAGGCACGAAAGCGUGGGGAUCAGACAGGAUUAGAUACCCCCGUAGUCCCUGUCUCUUAUAA
rnacentral:rRNA from 1 species